rnacentral:lncRNA from 1 species
GCAGGCAUGUGCCGCCAUGCCCAGCUAUUUGUUUUACUUUUUGUAGAGAUGGCGUCUCACUAUGUUGCCCAGGCUGGUCUCAAACUCCUAGCCUCAAGCAAUCCCUCCUGCCUCGGCAUCCCAAAGCGGAGGGCAUAUGCACAAAGACAUUAAAUGUAAAAGAAAUGGCCUGUGCUGAGCAACAGAGAAAGCUGUAUCAGAGAUAAAACCAAACAGUAAGCUUCCUAUGACACAGCUCCAGUGGAAGAAGAGAAAGCACCACCUCAUUACUGCAAGGUGGAAACAGAAGUCCAAGAGAGAUUCUUUGUUACCACUUGACAUGGAUGGGAAUCUAGGUACUCCCUGAUGGAGAGAAGGAGGACUGCCUCAUUAUGCUCACCAUGUAACCUACAAUAGCACCAUGGAAGGGGGAUGUGGACGUCUGUUAUCACUGGGUGGUUGUGAAAGCCCUGACUCUAUUGGCUUCUUUGGACAUAAUGCCAGUGGGGAGGGGGAAGAAUGCCUCAUUAAUGCCAUCUGUGGGUAGAAAUCCAGGCUACCCACUUUGCUUUUUGAUAGUGUGGUGGGGGAUGGGGCCACAUAUUUUUUUCUGCGAUAUUUAGCAGAAAUACAAAGCAGUUAUUGCCAACAUUUUCUGUCUUGUU